CACGCCAUUUUAAGUAAUUGUGACAAACCGCAAGAAAGUGUUCUAUCUUGUUUGUGACGGUAGACGGUAAAACGCUGUUAAAUAAUUCUUUAAAUAACGCAAAAACGUGUACAGGUCACAGCUUAACAUACGUGCUACGUCAGAAAAUAGAUUUUGUGUACGUGCAAAGUGAACAUAACGCAUAAAAGUUGUAAAAAAUUUUCUAUCAAGCAGAAAAAAAGAUUCUCAUUGGAUUCUGCUUCCUCUUCGGUCCAGUUAAGCCCCUCACAUCGGACGCCCCUCGGCAAAUUUUCAUUGUAAUUUGCUAAGAUUCGAACGAGUAGGCUAUUUCACAGCUUAGUGCAGCGAGCAAAGUUAUAACGAGUUCGAGUAAGAGAGACAAGGCGACUUUCUCUGAUAGUGGGCUGAAGUUUUUGCAUUACGGCACGCACGCUUGCAUAGACGGCAUACACAUUCGUAGCGUACGUGUGCGGGUGUGUGUGAGUGCGAAAGGUGCAACGAGAGCGGGUGUGAAUUGUGUAGGAGAGCAACGAACUCGCGUACAAGCGUCGAGAGAAAGGAAUUCAUAGAAGACUGAGGAUUUAGAUUUAAAGUAAUAAGAGGAUUUCCAUUUAAUACGCGAUUUAGUGAGCGUCUGGGAUCUCUGGGAUCAGCAAUAGCAAGUUUUAUUAUCUAUCACAUCAAUUAAAACAAAACGUCGAUAUUUUUUCUAAAGCUGCUGCAGUAGUAUAUCGUAAAGAAAACGCAGCAUCUGUCUGCCGGUAUUUUUGCGCCGAUUAGCACCUGUUGUCGUUCUGCGACGUUGUGGAUUAUACAAAAAGCUAAAAAAAACACGGCCAUACAAAAAUAGCUUGGCAAAAGUGUACUGACAACGCGCUACUGUUUCUCAAUAACUUUAAACAAACCUAAUCAAUAGUAUUCUUGAUAUUCCCUUUCAAAGCGCACACCGUUUCCGGUGCCUAAAAAGGCGUUACCGUUCUGAUUAUUUGCACCAAGGAUUUGGCGUUUCAAUAGCUGCAAGUCAUCAAGCGCUGAUAUCAGGGUAGUAAACACAAGCAUUAAAUACAAGUCAGAACACACAAAGACUAAAGUGAGAAAUAAGAAAUUUGGAGAAAAAAAUUGAAAGAACUGGGCAUACUGUCCGCAAUCACGCAAUUUUAAAAAGGCAAAGAAGUUGCUUACACAAAGCUUUUAGCGCUUUGCAACUACCAUUGAAGACCAUCUAUAACUACUGUCAAAUUAAAAAAGCAGAUCAGCGAACACAAGAAAAAAGUGUAACAAAGCAUAGAAAGUUGGAAACGUGACAGUUUUGUGCAACAUAAUACGGCUUGCGCGAUAUUAAUAACCGAAGCCGGGCUGUAAAAAAAGCUACGUACAGAUACAACCUGUCAAAAACGAAUCGUUAGAUCGAGAGUUUAACAUUAGCGCUUUUGCGUACUGAUUGCGUCAAAACAAAAAAAAAAAAACAUCUAAACGAAACUGCGCAGCGAGCUGCUGUACUUGCAAAGUAGUAGUGGUGAAGUGAGUGCGGCGCAAGGGGGAGGUAACGCUAAUGAGGAUCUACUGGCAGCAUGAGUACACUGGGGGGAAGUAGGGGAGAGCGAAAUGCCAAGCCCAAGUUCUCAGCACUCGAUAUAAAUCGAAUGUACAAAAAUAGUCGCGGUGAACCAGCUGAACCAUCUGCACAAAAGAAUCAAGUGCCACGUAAACAUGGAAUGCAAAGUUUGGGCAAAGUGCCGUCCGCAAGGCGACCCCCAGCUAAUUUACCAUCCCUGAAAGCUGAAAUAACAAGUUCGCCAACUACGAAUAACAAUCUAAUAACAUCAAGCGGACAAGAAGUAAAUUCAACAAGCGGCGGUCAAGUAACAACACACACACCUACAGGAGCAGCACCAGGCAAUCAACAACAGCAUCAACAACAACAACAGCAACUGAAGAACAGCAGCAACAAGUCCGCACUUUGUAAUAGUAACAACAAUAAUAACCACAGCAACAAGAAUAGCAUUAAUAACAGCGUCAGCGGUCUAAAGCUUGUUAACAACUCAACAGCUGGUAGCGCUGGCAACAGUGGCGGUCAACAGCUGCGCAACUCUUCGGUAGUGAAUCAAGCCAAUCAACAACAGCAACGAAAUUCGCCAAUAACAUGGUCAGCAGUGACAACUGGCAACGACAUGACCCAUGGUGGUGGCGGCGGGAAAGGCAGCGGUGGUGGUGGGGGCAAAUCUGCUGUACCGCCACUCUACCAGAGUCCACAGUUUCAAUACGAAUUUCCAACGUUAGAUGGCACGGUUGGCGGCGGAGGCGGUGGUGGUGGUGGUGGCAGCGCCAGCGCAUCGAACCGCAACAAACAACACCAGCAACAGGAUCAUUAUCAACAUCAGCAUCAGCACCAACAACAACACCACCAUCAGCAUUCGAACCAACAGCAUCAUCAGCAGCAACAUUCACAACAAAAUCAUCAUCAACACCAUCAUUCACAACACCAUCAUCAACAACAAAAUCAUCAUCCACACCAACGAGACUACAACAACCAGCAACAUGGGGGCGGUCGUCACGGGCACGAUCAGCGCUACGAUGCGCACAAUUACAAAGAUGGCAGCGACGGCGACGGUGGCAGCGAUUACGCGUAUCAGCAACAGCGUCAUCAUCACCAUCACCAGCAGCAACAGCAACGCGAACUAAACGAAGUAAGCCUGCGUCCCCAAACCGAUGCUGCCGCCUGGUUGCAGCAGCAGGAGAAAUCUGCCAAGGGCGUUGUCGAAGGCCAAUCGAACCAACAGGCCCAGGGCCACCAGGCACAGAAUGCCAAUGCUGCGGGAGCAGCAGUGCCGUUGCCGAUCCUGCAGCUAAUGCCGUCGUUCAUGCAGCGCGGCGCACCAAUGCCACCAGCUGGCAGUGGUGGCGGGGGUGGAAGUGGAAGUGGCGGCGUUGGAGUUGCUGGAAGCAACGGUCCACGCUCACAGACACCACCAAAUUAUCAAAAUGGCAUUGGGGGCAAGGAAUCGGUUGGUGGUGGCAGCGGCGGCUCAUUACGCACGCAACGCUCAGCGGGAGGCAAUGGUGGUGGCGCGCAGGAUUAUCGUUCUUGCUCACCAGUUGUUAGUAAUUUCCGUACAACCUCUGCAAUAGCCAAAAGACCACCACAAAUGGCAACGCCCCCGCUGGGUGGCAAUGGCGGCACGCAAACACCCAACGGUGGGAGCGCUGGAGGCAGGAAAGAGAAGGAAUUCAUCAUUGAACCUGAGGUGGUGCAAAUGCAACGACCAAUCAUACGCGAAGAAGAUUUGGAGCGAAUGAAUGCUAUAGCCAACGACGACAGCUGGACAAAACAAGACGACAUUGACUACACAAAAAAGCUGACAUUCUCAGAUGAUGACUCACCUGAGGAGCAUACCCCAACACAGGAGCGUGACCGACCAGUAUUCAACAAGUCAGGCGUCAGCGGUGCGCCACUUGAUCAGCGCAAGAGUUCAAACGCGAGUAGCGUGAACAGUAACUGGCAGCGUGGUGGUAGCAUUAAGGACCAACGUGAAAGUAUCGAGCGUGAGAAAUCCACCGAGCGCGAAGACACUCGUCAGCAGAAUGGACACCGCAGCAGCGCCGCCGGCACCAUCGCACUGGACGCCGCUGUGUAUGAGCGCGUAAAGCAACGUAAAGAAGAGGAGGAACGACGUGAGAAAGAGCGUCGCGAGGCAGCCGCACGCAAGCUACAGGAACUCGAAAUGAAGAUAUACAACAAUAAAAAGGCCGCGAGCGCUGCAGCAGCCGGCAGCGGUGCAGCAAUAACAACGGGAGGCGGCGACGCAUUAGAACAGCCGACACCACCGCCAUCGAUAGGUGGCGGUAGUGAGGAGGAAUUUAACAUGCGUCGCAGCGGCGGCGGUGGCGGCAGAGAUUUCGAGCGCGGCAACAGUCGUGGCGGCUAUGAACCGCGCGACAUGCGUGGUGGUGGCGAUUAUGUACGCGGCGAACGUGCCGGGCCUGGCAGCGGUGUUGGCGCACCAACUAUAGGCGCCGGUGGCAAACCGAUAUUUUCUGCACAAUUCCAGUCGAAUUUGCCACCACGUUUUCAGAAGCAGCAGCAGAUGCAAGCGCAGCUAGGAGGACCACUGACAAGUGGCGGUGGCGCUUUGGGCGGCAAUGGCAAGCCUCCCGGUUCACUCGGCGGUGGUUUGGAAAAGUCUGCCUCUUCGGGUUCCGCCUAUGAGGCUGGUAAUCGAUACAUGCAAAAGGGUGGCGUCGGCGGUCCGUUGCAACGCGGCGGUCGUGGUGAUUUUCGUGACAAUUACACGCGUGGUGGGUACGGGCGCAUGCGUAAUGAUAGUGAGCGUGACGACGAGCCGCGCUAUCAUGGUGGGCGCGGUGGCGGACGCGGAGGCGACGAUUACAUGCGUGGCAACGGCAUGUCCCAGAAUCAACUGUCGCGCAGCAUUUCUGAUACUUCACAGCGCAAAACUAGCGUCUCAUCCAACGACGAGCCCUGCAAAUAUGGCGGCAAUAGCAGCCUUAAUGAUUCUAAGGAGUUUGGUAAUAGCGCGCUUGUAUCAUCUUGGGCUGAAGAGACUGACGCCGAGCUGAAGCGACAACGUGAGGAGAGUUUCUCUUCGUCGCAUAGCCACGAAUCGCUGCCCAUUAAAAUACUGCAACGUCCGCAUACGCAGAAAAGUGUAUCGGAGGAGGAAACCUCCUCCGCGCAGCAGCAACAACACUUGCACUCGCAGCAGCCGCAUCAACAACAACAGCAAUUACAAUCUCAGCAGCAACAACAACAGCCUCAGCAACAACAACCGCAACCACUUCUUCGUCGCAGCGAAAGCGAACAGACAACGCCCUUUGCACCCACUCAAAUUCUGCGCCGCUCCGAGUCGUCGAGCGAUGAAAAGUCAAAGCCACAGCAGCAGCAGCAGCAGCCGACAAAUAUCGCCGAAACUGCCGCACCUAGUAAGAUUGUUGAAGAGAAGAGUGCACCGACUACGAAGCAACAAGCAUCAGAUGCCGAAUCUCAGCAAAAGAAACGUAAAGAAAGCGAAAGCAGCAACACCACUGUUCCCACAGUUCUAGGCGCGCGUAAAGAAUCUGUUUCUACAGAUGACAACAAGCAGCCGUCUGAUGAGAAUCGCCCAGCACCAACGACAGCAGCAGUAAGUCAACCACAGCGCGAGCCGAAGAGGCCAACUCCCCGUGGUGCAAGUGGAGGAGGCGGUGGAGGAGGUGGACGUGAUCGUGGUGGUGAACGCGAUCGAGAUCGUGAUCGUGACAGGGACCGUGACCGAGGCUCACAUUCGCGUGGCUUUGCUGGUGGCCGGGGUAUGCGUGAUUGGAAUAAUCCACGUGGCAUGCGCGGCGGGCGUUACUAUGGCGCUAAUGAACCACGGCUCGCCAGCGAAUCGGAGCAUUCGGAGGAUAUUGAUGAGGAAGCCUUUGGUGGCGGUGGACGUCGUGGUGAUCGUCAAAGUUCCAAAGUACCACGAAAGGAUCAUGGCGGCGGCGGCGGCGGUGGCGGUGGUCAUCGCAGUGGCGGCGAAGAACGCAGCUCAAAAGAAGGUUUCGCACCACGCGGUGAACCAUCGCGUCGUGGUCGCGGCGGCGGCGCGAAUAUUGGUGAUCGUAGCGAUCGCAGUGAUCGAGGUGAGCGCGGUUCUUCAUCAUCAUAUCGACGUAACGACGGUGGCGGCCGCGGCCAGGGUCGCCAUUAUGGCCGACAGCCUUACGAUGAACACCAUAAAGAUCAUAAACGCAGCUCGGACUCUGAGCAGACAGUCGGUGGCAGUGAGGUGGAUAAGACGAAACAAAACCAAUUGGCGCUAACUGCUGGACUCACAAAGGUUAAGGAUGCCAACAAUGCGACGACAGCAACAUCCGCGGAUGAAAAGACUCGCGCACAAUCGGGUGGAAAGCAACAGGCAGCACAACAGAGCGGCGCGAACUCGCAGCAAGCAAAGAAGGUGGCCGAGCCAGAAAAAAAGACCACCGCGUCCGCUUCAGCAAAGUCGUUUAGCAACAGCAGCAGUGGCCUGCAGGGUCGCAAAGAGAGUGCCUCGAGCACUAAAACUGAUGAUGUCUCCGAGCGGGAUCGCAAGUCUGCUUCGAAGGAGAAGGACCUACCCAGCGGCGCGAUGCAACAGCCGCUGCAACAGCGCAGCAGUAGCUCGAGCCAAAUGGCAAGCUCGCAGCGCAGCAACUCUAGUGUCGGUACAAAGAAGCAGGAUUUGCCUAUGGCUUCCUUGCCCACUUCGCAGUCGACAUCCGCCAUUGGCGCAAACAAAACUAAUCAGCAACAACAACAACAACAUACUGUUACAAAACCACCACCAGGCCUAGGUGGCGUUAACAGCGGCGGCAACAACUUCAAACCUACUAAUAGUACAUCGCUGCCGAAUCAAAGUGUCACUGCACAGCAGCAGCAAAAGCAGAGUGUCGAAUUGCAAAAGAGUAAAUCAGAUACAAAUGCCGUUACAUCGAAUGUGGCACGACAGCAGUCGAUCACAACGCAGCGUACUUCCGUCAGCGAAGUGGAUAAGGUAAAAAUGGGCACAGCCAACGAAAAACCGAACGCGGCGGUGAGUGGCGCUGGUACUUUAUUGCUAGAUGGCGCGCCGGUCAACACGAUCAUCUUCGAAAAUACCAACUACAAGCAGCAAGCACAGGCAGCACAGCUAAAACGCUCCUCGGAGUCGUUGUCAUCAGCCGUAAGUAGCGGUGUAAGCGUCUCCGCUGUUGAAACGCUCAGCACGGCACUCUCGCAGAUGUCGUUCGCCAAAGCUAAUGAGUCCUCAGUGCCCGGCGGCAGUGUGGUAGUGUCCGCCGCGGGAGAAUAUGAAAAGGAUAUGAAAUUGGGCUUCACUUUCGGUGAUGCCCCUGAGACGUACACCAAUUCGGCAGCAAACAAGCAGCCAAAUGACGCCGAUACGAAGGUUGUCAGUGCAGCUGCGCAACAAGUUGGCGUCGCAACUGUGGGUCAACAGCAGCAGCAGCAGCAACAGCAACAAGUGCAACAACAACAGCAACAGGCGCAGAAUAUUAUUUCAACAGCCGACUUGAAUAUGAAAAUAGCCAGCGUAAAGAAGGUAUGGGAAAGCGUAGCACCCAUGACGUCUGAGGCGAACACGUCGUCAUUGCAACAUCAGCAGGUGGCACAUCAGCAGCAGCAACAGGCGCAACAGCAGGCCCAGCAGCAACUGCAGCAUCAGCAGCAACAGCAGCAGCAACAACAACAACAGCAGCAGGCCCAGCAGCAAAUGGAAGUAGUGGAUCCCAGUGGCCACAUGUCAGCAGCCGCCUCCUUCGUAGCAGCUGCUGUUGCCGCAUCACAACAUCAACACCAACAACAACACAUGCCACACUAUGCGGUCGCUGCAGUGCCGCUCCACCAACAUCAGCACCACUCGCUCUCUUCGCCCGGUCCCGUACCCAGCGGCUACGGCGGCCAUGGCUCGCCUUUCGACGUCGCCACACCAUUGGAGCAGCAGUUUACGCAGAGCGGCAGUAUAGUGGUGGGCAGCACCGAUGAUUCGACAAAUGCUGUUGGCUAUCCCAGCCCCCAGCAGGCACAGCAACAGCAGGCGCAAUCUGCUGCCGCUGCUCAGCAACAACAGCAAGUGCUGAAGCACCCAGAUGUUGUGAAGCAGCAGCAGCAGGCGUCUGCCGCCGCUAAGCAAUUGCAGCAGCAUCAUGGCUCCUCGAUGGGCAUGUCGCCACCUCCUAACCUACAACAACAGCAGCAGCAGGCACAGCAUCAACAAUCAGCCGCCGCACAACAACAACAACAGUUGCAUGCCGCCCCGCCCUCUUUCUACCAAACAUCACCGCAAUUUACCGGCAUCCCUAGCCCGCCCACGGUCGUAUUCAACUCAUCGCAAAUGGCACCGCCACCACCCUCGCAGGCUGGUCUCUACGCACCAUUCCAUUCACUCGAACAUUCGAGCCGUUCGCAAUUUUCAGCCGCCGCAGCUGCGCACAGUUUCCCCGGUCACUAUAGCGCAGCAGCAGCGGCUGCCGCUGGUGGACCCUUCAACGCAUACACCAUGCAGACGCCACCCAAUAUGGGGGCUGCACCCACACCCGAAAUGUAUUCCAGUCUAACGUCACAGUUUCGUAUGGGCGGUGGUCCAUCGCCCUUUGGCAAUCCUAACUCGCAACAGCUGAACAAUCCGAAUGCACCAGCCGUAACGAUAAUCUCCUCUAAUUCCAACUCAAUGAUGUCAUCUGUAGGUUCCGUUAAGCCACCGCCUUCUUCGCAACAGUUAGGCACGAUCGGUUCUAAGGGCGCAGGUGGUGGUGGUCCCUACGCAGCACAACAGUACAUGAAUCUGUAUCCCGGCCCGCCACCACAACACCAAGGCGGUCCACCCGGUCCGCCAGGCGCACAUCAAUUGCAAUCGAACAGCUACUACUCGAAUUCGGCUAGUGGGCCAAAUGGCCCCGCUUUCUACGGUGGUCCACCACCGCCACAAGGCGCAGGCGCCGGUGCGCAAAAUUUUGGAUUGGCAGCAGCAGCUGCAGCAGCGGCUGGUCUGUAUGGGGGACAUCAGGGCGGACCGCCCGGCUCGAAUGGUCCACCUGGCCCCCAAGGACCACCUGGUCCGCAGUCACAACACACAAUGGGCAACUUUAAUACGCCGUUUAUGAAUUCGCAGCUGUUGACGGCGGCGAGUAUCAAUCAAUUUCGCGCCGGACCAACGCCGCAGCAGCAGGCAGCAGCCGCGGCCGCAUAUAUGAAAUCCGGACAAGGACAAAGUCACCUGCAAGACUCGAUGGGUCGCCAACUAAAAAGUCCACUCGGCGCUGACGUCAGUUUAAGUUUGGCCAAACAGGUGCAAUCACAACCGAGUCCACCACAUCAUAAAAAUUAUGGCGGCUGGGACUUGCAGAACCAAGUAAUGCAACAACAAGCACAACAACAAUCACAAUCUCAGCAGCAACAAGCCAUUCAACAGCGUGCUGGCGGUGGAGGUGGUGUUGGUGGCGGUGGCAAUGUGCCGAAUAUGCCGCCUGGUAGUCGCGGCGGAGGUCCACCCGGGGUGCAGGGUGGUCCUGGCGGGGGCAGUGGCGGCGGCCAAGGUGGGCAAGGACGUUAUCCGACGCCCAUACAGCGGCCCACCAACUAUCCGCAACAUCCACAAGGUGGCCCACAGUCACAACAACAACAACAACAACAGCAGCAGCAACAACAGCAAUCGCAAGCGGGCCAACGGCCCAAUAAUAUGCGGCAAGGACCUGGUGGUGGACCACCCGGCGCUGGCGGCGGUAAUGGGCCACAGGGUGGCGUCGGUGGCCCUGGCGGUCACAAUAAUGGCAAUGUAGGCGGCGGCGGCGGUGGACCCAAUAGCGGUGGCGCCGGCGGUCAAGGUGGAGGAGGCCCUGGUGGUCCAAAUAAUAGUGGCGGCGGUAGCGUUGGACCCAAUGGCGGUGGACAAAUGAAUAAGCCCUAUUAUGCGAACAAUGCAGGUGGCGGUGGAAGUCGAGGUAAUUGAAUAAGGCCAAGCAACAAAACACACAUGCCAACAAGAAACACGACACAGUAAGAACUAAAAAAUUAAAGAAUGAAAUUAAAAUGAGUAUAAGGGAAAACUCACGAAACUCACAGAUGAUGCUGAUGAUGAACUCAACACGAACGAUGUGAAUUUAAGGAGUAUGAACAGAAAAACAUUUAUAUACAUACAAAUAUGGAAGUCUUAUAACGUAUAACUGAUGCAAAUUGUGUGUGGCAAAAUUUUAAAGCGCCAAGCAAAAAUACAGCGUAAGAAAGUUAACCUAAAACACUGCUUAAACAAAUGGAAAACCGAAGUUUUUAAAUCAACAAAUAUACACAGUUGGAACAACAGGUUUUUACUAGGCACUGAAAAAAUGUAGCAAAAAAGUAAAUUUGAGAAAUAUUUAACAACCUCGUGGUGAGAGAAUCCUAUGCGCAUAUUGGGUGCAGUAGCAAUAUUUCAAAUUCUGAUUCUGGUAAAAAAAGAUUAUGGUAAUGUGAAGUUUUUAGUUAACUAAGUUGUGUUUAUUUCUAUUCCAAUGAUAUUAUUUACAUAUUUUUUUCUUUUGAUUUGCUAACUCAUUUUAUCCUUUUAAGCAACGACUCGACUCUAAAAUCGCGCAAUUAUUUUCUAUAUAUUGAUUUUUAAAUGCAAA
rnacentral:misc_RNA from 1 species